rnacentral:rRNA from 1 species
ACUAUGGCUCAGGACUAACGCUGGCGGCGUGCCUAACACAUGCAAGUCGAACGAAUCUCUUUGUAGCAAUAUAGAAGAAGGUGAGUGGCGCACGGGUGAGUAAUACAUAGAUGAUCUGCCUUCAGACUGGGACAACUCAGGGAAACUUGAGCUAAUACCAGAUAAGACCACAUGAAGGGAUUCACGUGACCAAAGGGUGAGCAAUCUCCUGCUGGAAGAUGAGUCUAUGUCCUAUCAGUUAGUUGGUGGGGUAAAGGCCUACCAAGACGAAGACGGGUAGCCGGCCUGAGAGGGUGAACGGCCACACUGGAACUGAGACACGGUCCAGACUCCUACGGGAGGCAGCAGUGAGGAAUUUUCCGCAAUGGGCGAAAGCCUGACGGAGCGACGCCGCGUGAGGGAUGAAGGUUUUCGGAUCGUAAACCUCUUUUAUCAAGGAAAAAGGCUUUAAUGCGAAUAACAUUAAAGUUUGAUUGUACUUAAUGAAUAAGCCCCGGCUAACUACGUGCCAGCAGCAGC